UGCAGUCGAACGAUGAAGCCGCUUCGGUGGUGGAUUAGUGGCGAACGGGUGAGUAACACGUGGGCAAUCUGCCCUGCACUCUGGGACAAGCCCUGGAAACGGGGUCUAAUACCGGAUAUGACACGGGAUCGCAUGGUCUCCGUGUGGAAAGCUCCGGCGGUGCAGGAUGAGCCCGCGGCCUAUCAGCUUGUUGGUGGGGUGAUGGCCUACCAAGGCGACGACGGGUAGCCGGCCUGAGAGGGCGACCGGCCACACUGGGACUGAGACACGGCCCAGACUCCUACGGGAGGCAGCAGUGGGGAAUAUUGCACAAUGGGCGCAAGCCUGAUGCAGCGACGCCGCGUGAGGGAUGACGGCCUUCGGGUUGUAAACCUCUUUCAGCAGGGAAGAAGCGCGAGUGACGGUACCUGCAGAAGAAGCACCGGCUAACUACGUGCCAGCAGCCGCGGUAAUACGUAGGGUGCGAGCGUUGUCCGGAAUUAUUGGGCGUAAAGAGCUCGUAGGCGGCUUGUCGCGUCGGAUGUGAAAGCCCGGGGCUUAACCCCGGGUCUGCAUUCG
rnacentral:rRNA from 1 species